GAAUUUAAGCAUAUCACUAAGCGGAGGAAAAGAAACUAACAUGGAUUCCCGUAGUAACGGCGAGUGAAGUGGGAAGAGCUCAGCACCGAAUCUCCUGCCUAUGAGGUAGCGGGACCUGUGGUGUUUAGGACAGCCUCUGGGGCUUCGUUGUCGCGUCCGAGUCCUCCUGAUCGGGGCCUUUCCCAUAGCGGGUGUCAGGCCUCUACUGGCGCGCGGCGGUGUCCCUCUGAGCG
rnacentral:rRNA from 1 species